rnacentral:sRNA from 1 species
UGCCGCACCGGAUUUUUGAUUGUUAAACUCAACACUACAAACAUACCGAGUUAAACUAUCCGUUAAAAGGGCAGGCCUCAACCUUCGGGUUGUCUUCGGACACGGAGGAUCCCCGCUUAACGGGUGUACUCAAAUCCUGUCGUCAGGAGUUUAAAUAAUCCAAACUGGUGCGGCACCCUAU